rnacentral:tRNA from 1 species
ACCUUCGUGGUGUAGUGGUCAGCACGCUGGGCGUGAAAUUAGAGGUCCGUGGUUCGAGUCCCGGCGAAGGCG